rnacentral:lncRNA from 1 species
UUCCCUUCCCGCUGCCCACCCCAGGCUCCGCGUGCGGCGUUCAGCCCCCGGCUCUGGCCAUGGCUACACUGAGGGUCCAUCCUGAAGCCCAAGCCAAGGUGGAUGUGUUUCGUGAGGACCUGUGUAGUAAGACAGAGAACCUGCUUGGGAGCUAUUUUCCCAAGAAGAUCUCAGAGUUGGAUGCCUUCUUAAAGGAGCCAGCUCUCAACGAAGCCAACCUGAGCAAUCUGAAGGCUCCAUUGGACAUCCCAGUCCCUGAUCCCGUCAAGGAGAAAGAGAAGGAGGAGCGGAAGAAGCAACAGGAGAAGGAAGAGAAGGACGAAAAGAAGAAAGGGGACGAAGACGACAAAGGUCCUCCCUGUGGUCCAGUGAACUGCAAUGAGAAGAUUGUGGUCCUCCUGCAACGCCUAAAGCCCGAGAUCAAGGAUGUCAUUGAGCAACUCAACCUGGUGAGCUCUUCCACCCUCAACUCUGCUCCAGGCAUUGUCCUCUUGGUCCCUGCCAGUUAUUUCAUGGCAAAGCAGGUGGCCCAGACUGGGGCUCAGCAAGGACCUGGCAUCCCACCAUCCGCUUGUGGGCAGACAAGGGAAGACUAGGAACCUGGGAAUUAGGGUACGUAUACGGAGGGGAGGGAAGGACAUGGUGAUAAAGCCAUGAUGCAUUCCUUUGCUCCAAGGUUACUACCUGGUUGCAGCUACAGAUACCUCGGAUAGAGGAUGGGAAUAAUUUUGGCGUGGCUGUCCAGGAAAAGGUGUUUGAGCUGAUGACCAGCCUUCAUACCAAGCUGGAAGGCUUCCAAACGCAGAUCUCUAAGUACUUCUCCGAGAGGGGUGAUGCCGUGGCCAAAGCAGCCAAGCAGCCUCAUGUGGGUGAUUAUCGGCAGCUGGUGCAUGAGCUGGACGAGGCGGAAUACCAGGAGAUCCGGCUGAUGGUCAUGGAGAUCCGUAACGCUUAUGUGAGGAGGGGAGAAGAGGGCAGGGGUGGGCAGAAGCACUUUUCCCAGGCCAUCCAAUUUCUGACCAAGCCAAUGUGGGGUGGAGGAUGACUUAAGAACAGCCUUUCCAAAGGUAGAGAUGGGAUACAGAACUACUGGGGGCCUGCGGCUGACCUCCCCUACUCUGUGAUCCUAUAGGCUGUGUUAUAUGACAUCAUCCUGAAGAACUUUGAGAAGCUCAAGAAGCCCCGUGGAGAGACAAAGGGGAUGAUCUAUUGAGCCCCCUCUCUCGUUCUAUGAUGGGUAUAACAGAAACCUUCCUACUCUUGACUAGGAACUCUAGACUGCACCCAGUCUUCUUCCUGCUGGGGUCUCCUCCCUCACUCUGCCUUCCAAACACAAUAAAUACAUAGUUGCCCACC